AAAGGAACUAAGGGCGCACAGUGGAUGCCUUGGCACUAAGAGCCGAUGAAGGACGAGAUCUGGAUCCCCUCUAGAGUCGAC
rnacentral:rRNA from 1 species